rnacentral:misc_RNA from 1 species
GAAUUGCGAUAAGUAAUGUGAAUUGCAGAAUUCAGUGAAUCAUCGAAUCUUUGAACGCACAUUGCGCUCCUGGGUAUUCCCGGGAGCACGCCUGUUUGAGCGUCAUUUCUCUCUCAAAUCUUCGGAUUUGGUUUUGAGUGAUACUCUUAGUCGAACUAGGCGUUUGCUUGAAAAGUAUUGGCAAGAGUGGUACUUUAGGUGCUAAACUGUUUCAAUGUAUUAGGUUUAUCCAACUCGUUGAAUCUGGUUAGUUACUUUAGGGUGCUUAGGCUCGGCCUUACAACAACAAACAAAGUUUGACCUCAAAUCAGGUAGGAUUACCCGCUGAACUUAA